rfam:Polaromonas sp. JS666 plasmid 2, complete sequence.
GCAAGGGUGACCGAGCGUGGGAAGGAAGCGUGGAAAGAAACCGUGAGCCGAUGAACAAGAAUCAGAUACGAGGCGCGAUGGAUCAAGGCGAGCAGGCACGUCACUGUAAAGCUUUUGUGGUCAAUGUGAAAUUGCGUAGAUCUGGCGGUUGUGCGGGGAAGGAUUGCGU